rnacentral:rRNA from 1 species
CAGGCCUAACACAUGCAAGUCGAACGGAAAGGCCCUGCUUUUGUAGGGUGCUCGAGUGGCGAACGGGUGAGUAACACGUGAGUAACCUGCCCUUGACUUUGGGAUAACUUCAGGAAACUGGGGCUAAUACCGGAUAGGAGCUCCUGCUGCAUGGUGGGGGUUGGAAAGUUUCGGCGGUUGGGGAUGGACUCGCGGCUUAUCAGCUUGUUGGUGGGGUAGUGGCUUACCAAGGCUUUGACGGGUAGCCGGCCUGAGAGGGUGACCGGCCACAUUGGGACUGAGAUACGGCCCAGACUCCUACGGGAGGCAGCAGUGGGGAAUAUUGCACAAUGGGCGGAAGCCUGAUGCAGCAACGCCGCGUGCGGGAUGACGGCCUUCGGGUUGUAAACCGCUUUCGCCUGUGACGAAGCGUGAGUGACGGUAAUGGGUAAAGAAGCACCGGCUAACUACGUGCCAGCAGCCGCGGUGAUACGUAGGGUGCGAGCGUUGUCCGGAUUUAUUGGGCGUAAAGGGCUCGUAGGUGGUUGAUCGCGUCGGAAGUGUAAUCUUGGGGCUUAACCCUGAGCGUGCUUUCGAUACGGGUUGACUUGAGGAAGGUAGGGGAGAAUGGAAUUCCUGGUGGAGCGGUGGAAUGCGCAGAUAUCAGGAGGAACACCAGUGGCGAAGGCGGUUCUCUGGGCCUUUCCUGACGCUGAGGAGCGAAAGCGUGGGGAGCGAACAGGCUUAGAUACCCUGGUAGUCCACGCUGUA